UGUUUAAGAAGCUUCAUUUAAAAUUAAAUUAAAAUGCAGAGUUCCCCGGACCAGUGGCCAGGACCCGGGCAGUGUGAGUGCCACUGAAAAUCAGCUUGUGUGCCAUGGGUUGCCUACCCCUGGUCUAUAAGGUGCCACAGGACUCUGUGUAAGUUUAUAACUGUGUUCUCAUGUUUCUCUUACAGCUCUCACACUGAGCCAGCAGAGGGAGCAGAGAGACCACCCAUUUUCUGUAGUCUAUACAGCGGCAAUCCUGUUACUUAGGCAUAAAGUCCCUUUCCUCUUUAAGGAAAGUAUUUUUGUUGACUGAGAUCCUAGUGCAGCUUGAAGUUAAUCUUUGUUGAUCGUGGCUUGUGUGUAACAGUUGGUUCCACUCAUGGCUUUGGGAUUUGAGAUUCCUGCUGUUGUCAUCAUAUACAGGUUCUUCUCCCACAUUCAUCACCAUAAUACCCAAGUGCUUUCCAGUAAUGCAUUAAGCAACAUGACUAAUGCCUGUCACAUGUUCUUCAUUCUCUCACUCUCCUCACUGGGAGAAGCGUGUUCAUUGGAGUCUUGUUUUGGUAGAAGGUAAAGCCAAGCAACAUCCCAGAAGGAAAUCUGUACAUUUAAACGGAGUGUUGGGCUGCUCAGCAACAAAAACAUAAUAUCACUGAAGACGUAAACAAAGUUUUAAAAUUUUAAGUGAGAAGCCAGAAGCUUAGCACACCCCAAAGGUAGGGUCUGGAGGAGCAACACAGUGUGCAGGAAUAGCCUGCAUCAGAGACUAUUUCGCCCUCUUGCUGUGAGCUCUCAUUAUUCCGGGAUGGCUUGUUAAUAAACCACUCAAUCUGAUGUUUUCUUCUUUGCUGAGUUUUAAGCUCAAGUGGGCUUAAGUAGUCAACUGUCUGCACAGGCAAGUGGCAUAUCAGUGCAGCUGACAGUAAAUGUUGUGCUGAUUGAUUUGUUUAUUUCUUGCAUUGGUAUCCUAAUGAAAGAUGAUGCACGAAGGCUGACACCAGAUUGGAACAGACACCUUAACAGAAUCACCAGAACAUAUUUGGGGCGAGGGAAGGGAAUCAAGCCAGGCAAAAAGAUCUGAAAACAGUAUCCAGCCUCCAACCAGUAUCAGGCAAAAGAUUUUACCAAUUUAGUUAUUGCAAUGAAAGAGUGAAGGUAGGCAUUUAAGGGGCUAUGUGUGUGCAAAAUUUAACUCCCAAGUCCCAAUUAAUAUAUGUACACAUGUGAAUCACUCCUUUUUACACCCCAUUCCCACAUCCCCAAGGGGAGAGAAACAGAGAGGCUCCUGUGGAACUAUCAGGUGGAAGGAGGCAAUGUCCUAGGAGACAUGGAGGAGAGAGCAGGCUUGCCAUCCAUAUCUGAACAUUGCAAGGGAGGGGGAAGUAGGCAAGCUGGUGCCCCUGAAAUCAUCAGCAGAUAAGGCUGUACUGUAUUUUUACCAUUCUCCAAAGGAUGAGCUUUGGCAGGCUCUAGUUGCUUCCCUCUCCACCAAUGAAUGUUUCUGCCCCUGAAGUUGUUCACUAGCUUAACUGAUGAAUGAACACAAAAUGAGCAAAAAUAGUCUGAGUGAUUCAUUUAAAAAUCUGACCGAGUAUUUGCAGAACGUAUUUUGCUAAUUUGCCUCUGACUGCAAUAAGAUAAUUUAGGAUUACUAUUGGGAAAAUAUUAUAACAGAUCUAUUGCAAUCUUGAAUAGACUUUCACAAGAAGUAUUGGAAGGUCACUUGGGUAAUUGCAAGUGAGAAUGAACAACUGAUUUCACUUUUUCCAUUAACUUUACUAGGCUUUAGACACACACCCAUUUACUUCAAUGAGCACAGGAGCAAGUGCCUAGAAACAUACUACAGAGGACGGUCUUCUUUUGGUAAAAGCAUAUGCUAGGUGAUGCAUACUAGCUCAGUCCAACUUCUCAAAUACUUCCACUAGUAUAUAUACUCAGGUGACAACCGUGUAGAAUCCAAGAGAUUUUACAAGGAAUAAGUUUGCUUCAUUCCCCAGCUCUGAAGGAAAAGAGCAGCUGAUAGGUCAGUGAACUGCUAAAAUGUAUUUGACUUACCAGAGUAUGAUUGUGUUGUGCUGCUC